rnacentral:sRNA from 6 species
AGACGAGCGAUAUUCCUCCCCAGCCCGCUCUCGGCUAUUCCCCUCUGGAGGUUUUCACCUUCACACCUCAAGGGCCGCGGUAUCAGCCGGCCCUUUUUC